CUCAGAUUGCGUCUAAAGCCCUUGAGAGCUCAGAGCUGACAGUUGUUCCGUAAAUUGCCUGUAAGAUUGCGUUAAAUUCUUUGAAGAAUCCUGGAAAUUGAUCUCAGAAAGCUUCUGUUCUAACAGCUGACGUACGGAAAAAUCCCCUGUAGUUGUGUAGCAUUGAAGCAUCGGUGAGUAAUCGCACGCGCUCAGCCGUUGGCCCAGUAAAUUCGCUAAAAAUUGGCUAAAAUACCUAAUAACUGUUCAAAUUUAAU